rnacentral:rRNA from 1 species
UAGGGAAUCUUCGGCAAUGGGGGGAACCCUGACCGAGCAACGCUGCGUGAGUGAAGAAGGUUUUCGGAUCGUAAAGCUCUGUUGUUAAGGAAGAACGAGUGUGAGAAUGGAAAGUUCAUACUGUGACGGUACUUAACCAGAAAGGGACGGCUAACUACGUGCCAGCAGCCGCGGUAAUACGUAGGUCCCGAGCGUUGUCCGGAUUUAUUGGGCGUAAAGCGAGCGCAGGCGGUUAGAUAAGUCUGAAGUUAAAGGCAGUGGCUCAACCAUUGUAGGCUUUGGAAACUGUUUAACUUGAGUGCAGAAGGGGAGAGUGGAAUUCCAUGUGUAGCGGUGAAAUGCGUAGAUAUAUGGAGGAACACCGGUGGCGAAAGCGGCUCUCUGGUCUGUAACUGACGCUGAGGCUCGAAAGCGUGGGGAGCGAACAGG